CGGGAGCUUGCUCCUUGAUUCAGCGGCGGACGGGUGAGUAAUGCCUAGGAAUCUGCCUGGUAGUGGGGGACAACGUUUCGAAAGGAACGCUAAUACCGCAUACGUCCUACGGGAGAAAGCAGGGGACCUUCGGGCCUUGCGCUAUCAGAUGAGCCUAGGUCGGAUUAGCUAGUUGGUGGGGUAAUGGCUCACCAAGGCGACGAUCCGUAACUGGUCUGAGAGGAUGAUCAGUCACACUGGAACUGAGACACGGUCCAGACUCCUACGGGAGGCAGCAGUGGGGAAUAUUGGACAAUGGGCGAAAGCCUGAUCCAGCCAUGCCGCGUGUGUGAAGAAGGUCUUCGGAUUGUAAAGCACUUUAAGUUGGGAGGAAGGGCAGUAAGCUAAUACCUUGCUGUUUUGACGUUACCGACAGAAUAAGCACCGGCUAACUCUGUGCCAGCAGCCGCGGUAAUACAGAGGGUGCAAGCGUUAAUCGGAAUUACUGGGCGUAAAGCGCGCGUAGGUGGUUCGUUAAGUUGGAUGUGAAAGCCCCGGGCUC
rnacentral:rRNA from 1 species